rnacentral:rRNA from 1 species
UGCAAGUCGAUCGGUAACAGGAAGCAGUUUGCUGCUUCGCUGACGAGUGGCGGACGGGUGAGUAAUGUCUGGGAAACUGCCUGAUGGAGGGGGAUAACUACUGGAAACGGUAGCUAAUACCGCAUAACGUCUCAAGACCAAAGAGGGGGACCUUCGGGCCUCUUGCCAUCGGAUGUGCCCAGAUGGGAUUAGCUAGUAGGUGGGGUAACGGCUCACCUAGGCGACGAUCCCUAGCUGGUCUGAGAGGAUGACCAGCCACACUGGAACUGAGACACGGUCCAGACUCCUACGGGAGGCAGCAGUGGGGAAUAUUGCACAAUGGGCGCAAGCCUGAUGCAGCCAUGCCGCGUGUAUGAAGAAGGCCUUCGGGUUGUAAAGUACUUUCAGCGGGGAGGAAGGCGACAGGGUUAAUAACCCUGUCGAUUGACGUUACCCGCAGAAGAAGCACCGGCUAACUCCGUGCCAGCAGCCGCGGUAAUACGGAGGGUGCAAGCGUUAAUCGGAAUUACUGGGCGUAAAGCGCACGCAGGCGGUCUGUCAAGUCGGAUGUGAAAUCCCCGGGCUCAACCUGGGAACUGCAUUCGAAACUGGCAGGCUAGAGUCUUGUAGAGGGGGGUAGAAUUCCAGGUGUAGCGGUGAAAUGCGUAGAGAUCUGGAGGAAUACCGGUGGCGAAGGCGGCCCCCUGGACAAAGACUGACG